GAUGAACGCUAGCGGCAGGCUUAACACAUGCAAGUCGAGGGGUAGAGGCUUUCGGGCCUUGAGACCGGCGCACGGGUGCGUAACGCGUAUGCAAUCUGCCUUGUACUGGGGGAUAGCCCAGAGAAAUUUGGAUUAAUACUCCAUAGUAUUUUCGGUUGGCAUCAACUGAUUAUUAAAGUUUUUCGGUACAAGAUGAGCAUGCGACCCAUUAGCUAGUUGGUAUGGUAACGGCGUACCAAGGCUACGAUGGGUAGGGGUCCUGAGAGGGAGAUCCCCCACACUGGUACUGAGACACGGACCAGACUCCUACUGGAGGCAGCAGUGAGGAAUAUUGGGCAAUGGAGGCAACUCUGACCCAGCCAUCCCGCGUGAAGGAUUAAGGCCCUAUGGGUUGUAAACUUCUUUUGUUUGGGAAGAAAUCUGGACAUUUAUGUGCAGUUGACGGUACCUUACGAAUAAGCACCGGCUAACUCCGUGCCAGCCGCCGCUGUAACAC
rnacentral:rRNA from 1 species